rnacentral:rRNA from 1 species
AUGGACAGGUUCCACGACAGGCAGCACGUGUGGCUGCGGAGCUGCGUGCACGGCACGUACCUCAACGCCGACAGCGACGGGAAGAGCGUCUCCCUCCGCCAGCGCCGCGAGUCGCUAAAGGCGGCGUGGGCGGUGCACAUCUACCAGGGCGACGUGCCGUACCUGCUCCUCUACAGCGCCGCCUACGGCCGCUACCUCGCCGCCACGGCCACGCCGGCGCCGCUCGCCCACCUCGGCUUCCGCGCCGAGCAGCGCGACUACGACCAGCCGGUGGUGCCGGCCAUCGGCGGCCGCUACCUCCGCGCCAACGGCAAGCACACCAGCAAGUACCUCCGCUGGAACAACGGCGUCACCGUCGACGACGUCGACAACGUCAGCACCAUGAUGCACUGGACCGUCGAGCCCAUCCCCCUCAGAGGGCCGGACAUGCCUCAGCCGGGCUUUGCUGCCCCGAUUCCGAGCCGCAUCCCCCGAGAUCUGUCCGUGAUGCUGGGACGCGAGCGAGGGGUGUGGCGGCUGAUCCGGUUCGUGCGAGCGAGCGCCGAGGGGGAGUACGCCGAGGACGGCAACGGCUGGACCGAGUUCCAGUUCAGGGGGAGGUACGUGUACCACCUGAGGAACGAGCUGGCCAAACGCAUCAACGCCGAGGUGCACUUGUUCGAGCUCGCCAUGUGCGUCCGAGCGGGCCGCUACGGGCGUUUGAUCCCGCUCGUCGUCAACCUGCCCCACGGACGCAACGGCGAGACCCUCCAGAUUGUCCUCUGCCUCUCCAGGACCCCUGCCUAUGAUGAGCUGCGUCACCCGGAUGUCUAUUCACAGUAG